UGAGGAAUAUUGGUCAAUGGGCGCGAGCCUGAACCAGCCAAGUAGCGUGAAGGAUGAAGGCUCUAUGGGUCGUAAACUUCUUUUAUAAAGGAAUAAAGUGAGUCACGUGUGACUUUUUGUAUGUACUUUAUGAAUAAGGAUCGGCUAACUCCGUGCCAGCAGCCGCGGUAAUACGGAGGAUCCGAGCGUUAUCCGGAUUUAUUGGGUUUAAAGGGAGCGUAGGUGGAUUAUUAAGUCAGUUGUGAAAGUUUGCGGCUCAACCGUAAAAUUGCAGUUGAUACUGGUAGUCUUGAGUUAAGUAGAGGUGGGCGGAAUUCGUGGUGUAGCGGUGAAAUGCUUAGAUAUCACGAAGAACUCCAAUUGCGAAGGCAGCUCACUGGACUUUUACUGACACUGAUGCUCGAAAGUGUGGGUAUCAAACA
rnacentral:rRNA from 1 species